rnacentral:rRNA from 1 species
CAGUAGCCGCGGGAAUACGAAGGGUGCAAGCGUUACUCGGAAUUACUGGGCGUAAAGCGUGCGUAGGUGGUGGUUUAAGUCCGUUGUGAAAGCCCUGGGCUCAACCUGGGAAUUGCAGUGGAUACUGGGUCACUAGAGUGUGGUAGAGGAUAGUGGAAUUUCCGGUGUAGCAGUGAAAUGCGUAGAGAUCGGAAGGAACAUCUGUGGCGAAGGCGACUAUCUGGGCCAACACUGACACUGAGGCACGAAAGCGUGGGGAGCAAACAGGAUUAGAUACCCCUGUAGUCCCUGUAUCUUAUAA